CCGACAAAGUGGCUGCGAUGUGUUCUCUUCCUCCUCCGAUAUGCGUCGCACCAUAUCACAGCCCGCUUUGUUGACU
rnacentral:pre_miRNA from 1 species